UUCUGUGAUGACCAUACGACACGAAAGGCAUUCCUCAGACUUAAUCUUCUAUGUGGAAACUGUCAACUAUAAGUUUCAGCCUUGUCUGACU
rnacentral:snoRNA from 1 species